UACGUAGGGUGCGAGCGUUAAUCGGAAUUACUGGGCGUAAAGCGUGCGCAGGCGGUUUUGUAAGCCAGGUGUGAAAUCCCCGAGCUCAACCUGGGAAUGGCAUUUGGGACUGCAAGGCUGGAGUGUGGCAGAGGAGACUGGAAUUCCUGGUGUAGCAGUGAAAUGCGUAGAUAUCAGGAGGAAUACCGAUGGCGAAGGCAGGUCUCUGGGCUGACACUGACGCUCAUGCACGAAAGCGUGGGGAGCAAACAGG
rnacentral:rRNA from 1 species